rnacentral:tRNA from 1 species
GCCCCGGUGGCGAAAUCGGUAGCCGCAUCAGACUUAAAAUCUGACGAGCUUGCUCAUGCCGGUUCGAGUCCGGCCCGGGGCACCA